ACGACAACACGAGGAGGGCAGCCGGCCACGCUCGGGAGAGAGAGAGAGAGAGAGAGAGAGCGAGACCGGCCUGAGACACGGAGGGAGGACCGGGCGGAAAACGGGAUGGAAGAGAGGAAGUGACCAGACUGGAAAUGGGACGAGAUGAAGGGGCAGGGAGAGAGAGAGAGAGAUGGAGAGGGAAGAGAGGGAAGAGAACCAGCGCAGGGUUGAGUGGCGACGGAUCCUGUGUUACACAACAAUGUUAAGUAACAUAACAAGUGUCAAUCAAUCACCGGCGGCACAGUCGACACUUUGCGACACAGGAUGCCGCUGGUGGGCACCUCCACUCUCUCCUCCGAUCGACCCGGCGAGUAUCUUGCGCUGCAUUGCCUCCUGUCCUCACAAGCAUCAGCCCGCCUCAGACAGUUGGUGCUUUCCUCUCUUCACUACUACCUUCCCUCGAGUGCUGGGAUCCAACACUGACACGGUCACGGGCGAUGGCGUCGCCUACCUGCGAACGACUCGGAUUCGUCCAGGAGCAACAUGGUCGCGGAGCGAAUGGAAGAGCUGCUCUCCUCCUCUGCUUCCCUCGGUCCUCCUCCUCCCGUCGCGCUCGUCUUUUGGUCUUUGAACUCCCUGUCAAAGUGUCUAGCGCCACCUCACACAGGAGUGGACAGGGAGUGUCGGCUGCUCUUGAAUCUGCUGCCUCAGUGACUGCUGGACCGCUGCUCCUCCUCUGGAGUCAAUAACUGUGUGAGCGUGAGGCUCCUGCAGGCAGCAGGGCUGGCGGUGGACACAAAACUUACAUAACCCUUGCUGGUGGAGCUGGGGCCCCCCCGAGGGGGGACUCAUACCGCUCGGUCCCUCGAAGGCCCAACCCCACCUUUCCAAAAAAGAAAAAAGAAAAAGCAGAAUCCACUCCUCCCUAACAACCGUCAGGGACACGGAGCACGUACGGAAGCAGCCAGCCGCACAUUCAUGCUGCCGGUCAGUAGAAGAAAGUUCUUUUGGUUACAGCAGUCAGCUUCAGACCCCGCGACAAUGUUUGUCAUGUCUCGGUUCUGAAGAAGCUGAAAAAAAAAAAAAGAUGUACACAAGAGCAAACGCACCCAAACACAUUCGAACGGGUGACCGAUGUGACCGAUCCGAGGGAAACCUGCUCUUUACACAAACAUUUAACUCCACAGAUGUUACACACCUGCUUUGUGGUAAAAAAAAUAAUAUCGUACGUGCUUUGUAAAGAGAAAGAACUUCCCACGUA